rnacentral:rRNA from 1 species
AUGGGGACGAGGGCGGCAACGAGCGCGCCUGUUGCCGCGGUGAGCUCGGUACUCUUCGGCAGAUCCCUUCCCCAGACUCCGCUCCCGACGAGAGCUCAUUGCUGGGGCUUCCCCCCAUGGACGAGGAGGACGACGAGUGCUGCCUGGCGGAGUUCUUCCGGCUGCUUCCUGGAGCGGUCCAGGGAGAUGGGCAGCUCUCCUACUGCUGGUGCGGCAGUUCUGCCCGAUGGACUUCUUCCAGCAGUCCUGGGCUGCAUUAGCUGGUGGUGGCAGGGCUUCAUCGAGCGGAGCUGCAAGUACAGAGAGCAGGGAUUUUAUGUGGAGCAAUUUGACAGACUGCUUCCCAAAAGAGAUGGGAAACAAUGGAACCUUCGACAUGCACAUAAAUCAAUGGAACCUAUGCAUGGUGCUGAUAACAAUGAUGGACAAGAUAGAGGUGAAGGUGCUGCUGUCGCUCGUCAACACAGUUCUAAUGAUGAUAGUGAUGAUGAUGGGGAUAUCGGAGAUCCUUUUCUUACCGAUAGAUUUGGAAAUUUGACAAGUUGGAGGUUGAGUGAUUUGGAGGCAGCAGCGGAGAAUCAUCUUGAAGAUGGAGAAAGUGAAACAGAGGUAGAAGAAAAGAAAUAUUCCAAAAAAGAAAUGCUAAAGCGUGAUGCUGACCGUAAGAAACAGUACAUGGCAUAUGCUUUACAGAAAUAUAACAAUGAUGAGGAUCUUGCUGGGGAGAUGCGUUUUGUGUUUGAUGAAAGUAAAGACGAAGUUUUCAUUAUUGAAGGAAACAUGAACUCCUAUGAACACUUCAACUUUACAGCUAAGCAGGCUGGUUCCACUGUUCUAUUUUUUGCUGAAGUGUGA